GAUGAACGCUGGCGGCGUGCUUAACACAUGCAAGUCGAACGAUGAAGCCCAGCUUGCUGGGUGGAUUAGUGGCGAACGGGUGAGUAACACGUGAGUAACCUGCCCUUGAAUCUGGGAUAAGCGCUGGAAACGGCGUCUAAUACCGGAUACGAGCUUCCACCGCAUGGUGAGUUGCUGGAAAGAAUUUCGGUCAAGGAUGGACUCGCGGCCUAUCAGGUAGUUGGUGAGGUAACGGCUCACCAAGCCGACGACGGGUAGCCGGCCUGAGAGGGUGACCGGCCACACUGGGACUGAGAGACGCCCCAGACGCCUACGGGAGGCAGCAGUGGGGAAUAUUGCAGAAUGGGCGCAAGCCUGAUGCAGCAACGCCGCGUGAGUGACGAAGGCCUUCGGGUCGUAAACCUCUUUUAGCAGGGAAGAAGCGAAAGUGACGGUACCUGCAGAAAAAGCACCGGCUAACUACGUG
rnacentral:rRNA from 1 species